CCUACGGGAGGUAGCAGUGGGGAAUAUUGGACAAUGGGGGCAACCCUGAUCCAGCAAUGCCGCGUGUGUGAAGAAGGCCUUCGGGUUGUAAAGCACUUUUAUCGGGAAAGAAACACUGUCGGCUAAUACCCGGCGGGACUGACGGUACCCGAUGAAUAAGCACCGGCUAACUCCGUGCCAGCAGCCGCGGUAA
rnacentral:rRNA from 1 species